rnacentral:rRNA from 1 species
GACGUAGGUGGCGAACGUAUCCGGAAUUAUUGGGCGUAAAGGAUGCGUAGAUGGUGUAGUAAGUUAUCGGUGGCAAAUCGAGGCUCAACCUCGUGGAAGUCGGUAAUACUGCUAUGCUAGAGGAUAGGAGAGGUUAACGGAACUCCCUGUGGAGCGGUGAAAUGCGUAGAUAUAGGGAAGAACACCAACAGGCGAAGGCAGUUAACUAUUCUAUUCCUGACAUUGAGGCAUGAAAGCGUGGGGAGCAAAACGG